rnacentral:rRNA from 1 species
UGGGGAAUAUUGCGCAAUGGGGGCAACCCUGACGCAGCCAUGCCGCGUGGAUGAAGAAGGCCUUCGGGUUGUAAAGUUCUUUCGGUGACGAGGAAGGCGUGAUGUUUAAUAGGCAUCACGAUUGACGUUAAUCACAGAAGAAGCACCGGCUAACUCCGUGCCAGCAGCCGCGGUAAUACGGAGGGUGCGAGCGUUAAUCGGAAUAACUGGGCGUAAAGGGCACGCAGGCGGCUAUUUAAGUGAGGUGUGAAAUCCCCGGGCUUAACCUGGGAAUUGCAUUUCAGACUGGGUAGCUAGAGUACUUUAGGGAGGGGUAGAAUUCCACGUGUAGCGGUGAAAUGCGUAGAGAUGUGGAGGAAUACCGAAGGCGAAGGCAGCCCCUUGGGAAUGUACUGACGCUCAUGUGCGAAAGCGUGGGGAGCAAACAGGAUUAGAUACCCUGGUAGUCCACGCUGUAAACGCUGUCGAUUUGGGGAUUGGGCCUUGAGCUUGGUGCCCGAAGCUAACGUGAUAAAUCGACCGCCUGGGGAGUACGGCCGCAAGGUUA